ACGUUCGGAUUGUAGUCUGCAACCCGACUACAUGAAGCCGGAAUCGCUAGUAAUCGCGGAUCAGAAUGCCGCGGUGAAUACGUUCCCGGGUCUUGUACACACCGCCCGUCACACCAUGGGAGUCGGGAAUGCCCGAAGUCAGUGACCCAACCCAAGGGAGGGAGCUGCCGAAGGCAGGCCUGGUGACUGGGGUGAAGUCGUAACAAGGUAUC
rnacentral:rRNA from 1 species